GCUUUACUGUAGCCUGGUAUUGGGUUCGGGCUUUGCUUGCGCAGGAUAGGUGGGAGACUAUGAGACUUUCCUUGUGGGGAAAGUGGAGUCAAUGGUGAGAUACCACUCUAGCAAGGCUAGAAUUCUAACCCUGACCCGUAAUCCGGGGAGGGAACAGUAUCAGGUGGGCAGUUUGACUGGGGCGGUCGCCUCCUAAAUGGUAACGGAGGCGCACAAAGGUUCCCUCAGGCUGGUUGGAAAUCAGCCGGAGAGUGUAAAGGCAUAAGGGAGCUUGACUGCGAGAGCUACAACUCGAGCAGGGUGGAAACACGGUCUUAGUGAUCCGACGGCACAGCGUGGAAUGGCCGUCGCUCAACGGAUAAAAGUUA
rnacentral:rRNA from 2 species